rnacentral:rRNA from 1 species
GAUGAACGCUGGCGGCGUGCCUAAUACAUGCAAGUCGAGCGAACAGAUGAGGAGCUUGCUCCUCUGACGUUAGCGGCGGACGGGUGAGUAACACGUGGAUAACCUACCUAUAAGACUGGGAUAACUUCGGGAAACCGGAGCUAAUACCGGAUAAUAUAUUGAACCGCAUGGUUCAAUAGUGAAAGACGGUUUUGCUGUCACUUAUAGAUGGAUCCGCGCCGCAUUAGCUAGUUGGUAAGGUAACGGCUUACCAAGGCAACGAUGCGUAGCCGACCUGAGAGGGUGAUCGGCCACACGGGAACUGAGACACGGUCCAGACUACUAAGGGAGGCAGCAGUAGGGAAUCUUCCGCAAUGGGCGAAAGCCUGACGGAGCAACGCCGCGUGAGUGAUGAAGGUCUUCGGAUCGUAAAACUCUGUUAUUAGGGAAGAACAAAUGUGUAAGUAACUAUGCACGUCUUGACGGUACCUAAUCAGAAAGCCACGGCUAACUACGUG